GGCCUACCAUGGUGGUAACGGGUAACGGGGUGUUAGGGCACGACACCGGAGAGGGAGCCUGAGAAACGGCUACCACAUCCAAGGAUGGCAGCAGGCGCGCAAAUUACCCAAUCCCGACACGGGGAGGUAGUGACAAUAAAUAACAAUACGGGGCCCUUUCGGGUUUCGUAAUUGGAAUGAGUACAAUUUAAAUCUCUUAACGAGGAACAAUUGGAGGGCAAGUCUGGUGCCAGCAGCCGCGGUAAUUCCAGCUCCAAUAGCGUAUAUUAAAGUUGUUGCAGUUAAAAAGCUCGUAGUUGAAUUUCGGGAUUAGUACGUCGGUCGUGCCUUAGGUACGUACUGGUGUUACUGGUUCCUACCUUCUGACGAACCAUCAUGUCAUUAAUUUGGUGUGGUGGGGAAUCAGGACUGUUACUUUGAAAAAAUUAGAGUGUUUAAAGCAGGCUCGCGCUUGAAUACAUUAGCAUGGAAUAAUGAAAUAGGACGUUGAUCCUAUUUUGUUGGUUUCUAGGAUUGACGUAAUGAUUAAAUAGGGAUAGUUGGGGGCAUUAGUAUUCAAUUGUCAGAGGUGAAAUUCUUGGAUUUAUUGAAGACUAACUACUGCGAAAGCAUUUGCCAAGGAUGUUUUCAUUAAUCAAGAACGAAAGUUAGGGGAUCGAAGACGAUCAGAUACCGUNGUAGUNUUAACCAUAAANUAUGCCGACUAGGGAUCGGAUGAUGUUAUUUUUAAUGACUCAUUCGGCGCCUUACG
rnacentral:rRNA from 1 species